UGGGGAAUCUUGCACAAUGGGGGCAACCCUGAUGCAGCGACGCCGCGUGAGCGAUGAAGCCCUUCGGGGCGUAAAGCUCUUUCGACCGGAACGAUAAUGACGGUACCGGGAGAAGAAGCUGCGGCUAACUACGUGCCAGCAGCCGCGGUAAUACGUAGGCAGCAAGCGUUGUUCGGAGUUACUGGGCGUAACGCGUGCGUAGGUGGUUGUUUAAGUCUGAUGUGAAAGCCCUGGGCUCAACCUGGGAAUGGCAUUGGAAACUGGGCAGCUAGAGUGCGGUAGAGGGUAGUGGAAUUCCCGGUGUAGCAGUGAAAUGCGUAGAGAUCGGGAGGAACAUCUGUGGCGAAGGCGACUGCCUGGACCAGCACUGACACUGAGGCACGAAAGCGUGGGGAGCAAAC
rnacentral:rRNA from 1 species